rnacentral:rRNA from 1 species
ACUCCUACGGGAGGCAGCAGUGGGAAGUAUUGCACAAUGGGAACCGGUACUGCAGCCAUGCCGCGUGUGUGAAGAAGGCCUUCGGGUUGUAAAGCACUUUCAGUAGGGAGGAAGGUAGUGUAGUUAACACCUGCAUUAUUUGACGUUACCUACAGAAGAAGCACCGGCUAACUCCGUGCCAGCAGCCGCGGUAAUACGGAGGGUGCGAGCGUUAAUCGGAAUUACUGGGCGUAAAGCGCAUGCAGGCGGCCUGUUAAGUCAGAUGUGAAAG